rnacentral:rRNA from 1 species
GAUGAACGCUGGCGGCGUGCUUAACACAUGCCAGUCGAACGGUGAACACGGAGCUUGCUCUGUGGGAUCAGUGGCGAACGGGUGAGUAACACGUGAGCAACCUGCCCCUGACUCUGGGGUAAGCGCUGGAAACGGCGUCUAAUACUGGAUAUGUGACGUGACCGCAUGGUCUGCGUUUGGAAAGAUUUUUCGGUUGGGGAUGGGCUCGCGGCCUAUCAGCUUGUUGGUGAGGUAAUGGCUCACCAAGGCGUCGACGGGUAGCCGGCCUGAGAGGGUGACCGGCCACACUGGGACUGAGACACGGCCCAGACUCCUACGGGAGGCAGCAGUGGGGAAUAUUGCACAAUGGGCGCAAGUCUGAUGCAGCAACGCCGCGUGAGGGAUGACGGCCUUCGGGUUGUAAACCUCUUUUAGCAGGGAAGAAGCGAAAGUGACGGUACCUGCAGAAAAAGCGCCGGCUAACUACGUG